rnacentral:rRNA from 1 species
UACGGAGGGUGCAAACGUUGCUCGGAAUCAUUGGGCGUAAAGCGCACGUAGGCGGUCCAGCAAGUCGGGUGUGAAAGCCCUCGGCUUAACCGAGGAAGUGCAUUCGAAACUACUGGACUUGAGUACUGAAGAGGAUCGCGGAAUUCCCGGUGUAGAGGUGAAAUUCGUAGAUAUCGGGAGGAACACCAGUGGCGAAGGCGGCGAUCUGGGCAGAUACUGACGCUGAGGUGCGAAAGCUGGGGGAGCGAACGGGG